rnacentral:tRNA from 1 species
GGGGUUGUAGCUCAGUGGUAGAGUGCUUGCCUGGUAAGUGUGAGGCACUAGGUUCGAUCCUCAGCACCA